UACAGAGGGCUCAAGCGUUGUUCGGAUUCAUUGGGCGUAAAGGGUGUGUAGGCGGCGCGCUAAGUCGGGUGUGAAAUUUCGGAGCUUAACUCCGAAACUGCAUUCGAUACUGGCGUGCUUGAGGACUGGAGAGGAGACUGGAAUUCAUGGUGUAGCAGUGAAAUGCGUAGAGAUCAUGAGGAAGACCAGUGGCGAAGGCGGGUCUCUGGACAGUUCCUGACACUGAGACGCGAAGGCCAGGGGAGCAAACGGG
rnacentral:rRNA from 1 species